AUACGGGGGGUGCAAGCGUUAUUCGGAUUUAUUGGGCGUAAAGGGCGCGUAGGCGGCUUGGUAAGUCAGAUGUGAAAGCCCGGGGCUUAACCCCGGAAGUGCAUUUGAAACUAUCAGGCUUGAGUAUGGGAGAGGGAAGUGGAAUUCCUGGUGUGGAGGUGAAAUUCGUAGAUAUCAGGAGGAACACCGGUGGCGAAGGCGACUUCCUGGACCAAUACUGACGCUGAGGCGCGAAGGCGUGGGGAGCAAACAGGAUUAGAAACCCCGGUAGUCC
rnacentral:rRNA from 1 species